GGGGCAGGUACAUAAAGAAAGUGCACGGGGCGGAGUUUAACAUGUAUGUGAGCAACAUCGGACUGUAACAGUAGUGUAACAGCACAACACGAGAAAAAAAUGUAAACUAGACAAAGUGAUGCCCCGCACUCCACUCAUUUAACCGCUUAUACCCCAAAAAGGACAAAGUUCAAAUUUUCUCCCAAAAGAGGAAAAAUAAUAAAAAGAAAAAACCCUGACCACAUGCACACCUUCGAUACAUGUACAAACAGCUAGCAGAGUGAUAAAUUCCUAGUAUUCAAACUGUAGUAGGAGUUAUCUGGAAAUGCCCUACUUUUGCAAGUAAAUUUCCC
rnacentral:lncRNA from 1 species